rnacentral:lncRNA from 1 species
GUCUAUGUGUGUUAGUCUCUUCAGUAUAUCUGAGUGUGUGAAUGUGUGUGUAUGUGUGUGUGUGUAAGACCAUGCGAUGUUGUGCCUUUUGCCCUCUCCGGCCAAUCCCGAUGCUGGUCGUCAACGCGCAAGCGCCCGAUAUCCACCUGCUGGGCGGGGUUUCAAAAUUCUUAUGAUAGAAGCCGUGCCGCAGCUGACCGUCUCCAGCACAACGCAUUCGGUAUACUAAUGCAGGCUAUAGUCUUUACGAUGCACAGGGCUUCGAUGUCGCUCUUCCUUAUUGAUAUUACGAAAUCCCAUCUUUGACUCGGAGUUUUGUUGUUGCAAAAAAAUGUUGACCCUUCCCGUUAUUGACACAUUGGCCGCGAUAAGAGCAAAUAAGACCAGAACAAGACAGAUAACAAGGUGUUUCAUUUCGAUUGGCGAGUUGGUGUUAUUAGGUUACAGCUUUUGGUGCUGCACAACGGCAAACGCAGUCAUUGUAAGGUCAACAUGACACGUACUCGUUCUGCACUGUGCACAGUAUGUGUCCAUGAUAUUUCGUCUUAUUUCUCCCCCGAUUAUUUUUUUUUUUCGCGUGAUGCGGCUUCUUUAAAAAUAAAAAAUAAAAAAUGCAAAUGUUGUCACUUGAAGGACACUGUACAUGCUGCUAACUACCCUCUUCCAGACCUAUCACCGUUUUCAUUAAUAAACUUGUGGCUGGCAUU